GGGAAGCGUGGAGGUGAGGCGACAGCGCGAGGGGAUUUUAAGGCAGGCAGGAGGACGAGGAGGAAACGGAGCCCGAGGGUGAGAGCGGCCGUCCAGCAGCAGAAACGCAGCGGUCUUCGGCUUCCAGUAACGGAUCUUCGUCUGCUGCUGCUUUCCGGUGCAGUGCUUCCCAUGGGAGGGAUGUUCGGACCGGGACAGGAGGCAGGCAGGGCCGGGCAGCUGCAGGGCUGGCUCAGCCGCUGCCACGGAGCCUCGGCAGCCUCCUCGAGGUGCGACAGACACGGGCAGGCUCAUCUCAGCACCGCUCCACGCUGCUUCUUUCUGGGCAGUCACGAGAAGGACGUUGCAGUUGACUCUAACCUGGAGUCGGGUCUGGCCAGCACUCAUCAUUGGACUCCAGCGCCCGUUAUCCAAGAGAAGCUGGAAAGCAGAGCAACGACUGUAGGGCUGCUUCCAUCCCGUGCCUCUCAGAAGAGCCGCGGUUUGCGUUAUUUGGUUUGUAUUUCACAAAGCAGUGAUUUACAGUGCAGGACUCGGCCAGGAAGUCGAAGUGCUGAAGGCAGAGCACGGAGCUGCAGCCACCAGAGCUGCUCUGACUCGGGAGCACCGCAGCCUUUGUGCUCGUGAAAAAGGAACCAGAGCCGAGCUGCUGGGACUCACAGCCCAGUGGGACUGGGAUGAUUCAAACAGCCGGCUGCGGAAACCUCUCAACUCAAAGCCAGGUCAACCCAGCGCAUCCCAGCUCCGUGCUGCUCCACCCAGUGCAGGAAGCAGCUGUGGGCUGCAGAGCUGCAGGUUGUGGCUGUUGCCUUGCAGAAUUACAGCACCAGCGAUGCUGCAUGCACAUAUUUGACUCCCAAAUGAAGGGGAAACGGGCAGGGAUGUAAGCCUGCCUGUAAACCCAGACUGACCCACUUUGCACUGGUCUCAGCAGCUGCAGGCACGCAGCCAAAGGUUUCCUGAAUGCAAGCAUCCAUCAGAGGUACGGAGAGCAGACAGGAAUAAAGAGCACAGCCUCUGAUCAGCUCUAACCAAAGUUACCUCCCAGUUUCCUGAGUGGACAAAGCAGAGACGAAAGGCGUUUUCCGGGAGCUGAACAAACCUGUCGGGUCUGAGGUCAGAACACAGCAGCAUUCGAUGCCCAUUGUCACCACGCAAAGCGAGCGACCACCCAGAGCCACACACAGCUGUGUGCAAGCCAGCGGCCUGGGGAACCUGAGGCAGCAGCCGUUGCUGAGGUCAGUGCAGUCCAGGCAGCAGCCAGCAGCUCUGCAGUGCCCACAAGCUGAGCAGGCGGUGCCACGCAGCUCCUCAGCAGCACAGCUGCUCCUCUCAUGAGCUGGGUGGGAAAAGCUGAGCGGCACCAAUCAUACAGACUGCAUUCCACCACUGGGAGCUGAACGGUCCAGCGAGGCACGGCGUAAGCCUGCAGUGCUGAUGGUUUUCAAGAGUGCCAAUUGGUUUCUCAUGAAGAGACGAAUUCACAAGAAAGCUCUUUGUAAAAAAAAAAAAAAAGAAGGAAAACAAAAAUGGAGACAGGCUUGUGUUUCUAAUCCAAAUGUACUUCUCUUUAUUCAAACCAGGGGUCAUCACUGGUUAGUGCAAAAUGCACCUAAACCUUUUGCCUGAGGGAAAUCUACAUCUUAACAAGGCCUCCGUUAACCCCUAAUGAAAUCCACAGAGGAUCCGAAAGACUUUGAAGCACAGCUCCCAGGCUGCGCUCCGUUAAGUGACUCCGUGCACCAACACGUCUGCACUGCCUUGUUCCCAGCUCCACACACCGGGUAACAAAUGCAAAAUACACUCAGUAGAUUCCUUUUUUUUUUUUUGCUUUUUUUUUUUGCUUUUUUUAAACUCCCAGAGUUUCUGCCCCAUCCACCGCUGCUGUCAGCAGUGAAGGAGCUGCAGCUCAGCCUCGCUUCCACCAGUGCUAACGGAAACCCUGUUUUAAAUUAAAAAAUAAGCCAGCAUACAUAGUAGAAAAUUUUCUCUUAAAAAUUUCACAAUCUGUAAAUGUAUAUAUAUAUAUUUUUUUUUCUUUCUUUUAAACAUAAAAGUUUACAAUAUACGGUAAAACAAAAGGCUCAGGAAAAAAAAUAAUUUCAAAAAAAAAAAAGAAAAAAGAAAAAAAAAAGAAA